rnacentral:rRNA from 1 species
CCUACGGGAGGCAGCAGUGAGGAAUAUUGGUCAAUGGACGCGAGUCUGAACCAGCCAAGUAGCGUGAAGGAUGACUGCCCUAUGGGUUGUAAACUUCUUUUAUAUGGGAAUAAAACGUUCCACGUGUGGGAUUUUGUAUGUACCUUAUGAAUAAGGAUCGGCUAACUCCGUGCCAGCAGCCGCGGUAAUACGGAGGAUCCGAGCGUUAUCCGGAUUUAUUGGGUUUAAAGGGAGCGUAGGUGGGUUGUUAAGUCAGUUGUGAAAGUUUGCGGCUCAACCGUAAAAUUGCAGUUGAAACUGGCAGUCUUGAGUACAGUAGAGGUGGGCGGAAUUCGUGGUGUAGCGGUGAAAUGCUUAGAUAUCACGAAGAACUCCGAUUGCGAAGGCAGUUCACUGGACUGCAACUGACACUGAGGCUCGAAAGUGUGGGUAUCAAACAGGAUUAGAUACCCCUGUAGUC